rnacentral:rRNA from 1 species
CGAACGGGCAGUAGCAAUACUGUCAGUGGCGCACGGGUGCGUAACGCGUAGAUAAUCUACCUUCCAGCGGGGGAUAACCAAGGGAAACUUUGGCUAAUACCCCAUAAGACCACGGUGCCUGCGGGCGCUGAGGGAAAAGGCGGCCUCUGUAUAUGCUGUCACUGGGAGAUGAGUCUGCGUCCCAUCAGCUAGUUGGUGAGGUAAUGGCUCACCAAGGCAAAGACGGGUAGCUGGUCUGAGAGGAUGAUCAGCCACACUGGCACUGGAACACGGGCCAGACUCCUACGGGAGGCAGCAGUGGGGAAUAUUGGGCAAUGGGCGCAAGCCUGACCCAGCCACGCCGCGUGAGUGAUGAGGGCCUUCGGGUUGUAAAGCUCUGUGGGAAGAGAAGAAAAACUGGUGGUUAAUACCCAUCCAGGUUGACGGUAUCUUCUUAGCAAGCACCGGCUAACUCUGUGCCAGCAGCCGCGGUAAGACAGAGGGUGCAAACGUUGCUCGGAUUUACUGGGCGUAAAGCGCAUGUAGGCGGGCGAUUAAGUCGGGUGUGAAAUCCCUGGGCUCAACCUAGGAACUGCAUCCGAAACUGAUCACCUUGAGUAGUGGAGAGGAAAGCGGAAUUCCCGGUGUAGAGGUGAAAUUCGUAGAUAUCGGGAGGAACACCAGUGGCGAAGGCGGCUUUCUGGACACUAACUGACGCUGAGAUGCGAAAGCGUGGGGAGCAAACAGGAUUAGAUACCCUGGUAGUCCACGCCGUAAACGAUGAGUGCUGGGUGUCGGCGGUAUUGACCCCGGCGGCGCCGUAGCUAACGCGUUAAGCACUCCGC